rnacentral:rRNA from 1 species
CAGUAGCCACGGUAAAACGUAGGUGGCAAGCGUUGUCCGGAAUUAUUGGGCGUAAAGGGCUCGCAGGCGGUUUCUUAAGUCUGAUGUGAAAGCCCCCGGCUCAACCGGGGAGGGUCAUUGGAAACUGGGAAACUUGAGUGCAGAAGAGGAGAGUGGAAUUCCACGUGUAGCGGUGAAAUGCGUAGAGAUGUGGAGGAACACCAGUGGCGAAGGCGACUCUCUGGUCUGUAACUGACGCUGAGGAGCGAAAGCGUGGGGAGCGAACAGGAUUAGAUACCCCAGUAGUCCCUGUCUCUUAUAC